UACCCUUGAUUUUCUGUUCUACUGUUUGAACUAUUGUAGUUUUCACCUGGACUGCCUGAAAUCAUAUAAGUUCAUUAAGCUUGUAUGAUAAGAUUUGAUUGUCAGGCCCAAUAACAUUCAUAAUUAUGUCUCUUUACCAUAGAUUCAUCUUGCAAGUAUCGACAAGUAUGACUCUUGUAUAAUUGUGUUUGUACAUGGGCCAUAUUUUGUACCGCUUUGCGGUACAUCUAGUUUGUACAUGAGUCUGUACCUUCUCUACCUUCACCACUACUAUUCCAGCUGAACACAGAUGGCUUUUUAGGUGUAAAGUGCGUGAAAUGUCUCACUAAUGUUAGUCAAAAUGGCUCAUAUGCUCUAGGCUAUGUUUUAAAGACUAGAUAUGUAAACAGUCCUGGACAUAAAGGUGCUCUAAGCGAUGCUGGAAAAUUUCACUUCACUUCAAGGCUGUCAGGGCAUUUUGUGGGGUUGUUUGGGUUAUUUUCUGUAACCCAGCUUGUUGGGUUGAUAGUUUAGGACAGCGCCCCUCCUCUCUCCCACCUGACGUGGAGUACACUACCCAGCACCUGGGUGACUUUAACACAGCUGCAUAGUUAUUUGAGAGUUCGAAAAAACAUUGUUAUUCUUCCAACCGUCCAGUCCACCAGCUGUCAGCAUGCAAUGGAAAUCAGGCGAUUUCGUAAGGGGUGAUCCCCAAAACGGACGGUGGAAUCUGCCUGCCUUCAUGGAAGUAUCACAAGCUUUUUCUAGCUAUCUGUUCAAAAAAUAAACUGCCAAAUAAAUAAAUGUCGAACUGUU